AUAUAUAUAUACCUCUAAAUCUUUCAUUAUGUAGAAAACCAAUUUAAAUCCCUUCAAACAAAAAGAAAACCUAGUCGAACUUGAUUCCAUGGGAAACCUCUUGGGUAAAAGUAAAAAGCGUAAUCCUCAAAAUUCUAGGAGUGAUAAAGGAGGAAGAAUAUUGUCCAACAUUCCAGUUCAUGAACCUAUCCCAUUACCACUUACACAACAAGUUGCUUCAAUGUCUAAGAAAUCAAGUUUUGGGACACAUAUAAUUCUGGACAAAGUUCAAAUACCAAGAAACCUCUCAUGAAGUAUGCUUUGAUUCAAGAUAACUUCACAACUCUUGAACAGGUUACUGCAGCCUUGAGGAAAGAAGGUUUAGAGUCAUCAAAUCUCAUCCUUGGAAUUGAUUUUACAAAGAGUAAUGAAUGGACUGGCCAAGUCUCAUUCAACAAGAAAAGCCUGCAUGCAAUUGGAGAUACACCAAACCCAUAUGAGAAGGCCAUAUCAAUUGUUGGCAAGACUUUAGCUCCCUUUGAUGAAGACAACUUGAUUCCAUGCUUUGGCUUUGGUGAUGCUACCACACAUGAUAAAGAAGUAUUCAGCUUUCAUAGUGAUCAUUCACCUUGCCAUGGAUUUGAAGAAGUUUUGGCUUGCUACAAAAACGUUGUUCCAAACUUGAAACUCUCAGGACCGACUUCUUAUGCACCGGUGAUUGAGGCUGCAAUAGACAUAGUCGAGAAAAGUCAUGGCCAAUUCCAUGUUUUGGUUAUCAUCGCAGAUGGUCAGGUUACAAGAAGUGUAGACUAUGAUGAUAAUGAACUCAGUCCUCAAGAAGAGAAAACUAUCAAAGCAAUUGCUGAUGCAAGUAAAUAUCCACUUGCUAUAGUUUUGGUCGGAGUUGGUGAUGGACCUUGGGCAGACAUGGAAAAGUUUGAUGACACCACACGCGAUUUUGACAAUUUUCAGUUUGUAAAUUUCACGAAAAUCAUGUCGAAAAACACAAGCGAAACUGAAAAGGAAGCAGCUUUUGCUUUGGCUGCUCUGAUGGAGAUCCCCUUCCAAUACAAAGCAUGUGUCGAAUUUAAAAAACUUGGACGUGUAACUGGCAGAGCGAAGAGAAUAGUUCCAAAACCAUCUCCUGUUCCUUAUUCUCGGCCGGUACCAAGCAAAUCGCCGGCAUCAACAACAGAUGAUCAAAAUCAAUCUACGCAUCGCAUCGGAUCGGAUCUGAAUCUCCAUGGCAAACGAACAUGAACAUGGAAUUCUGGGGUUUGUGGAGGAAGUAAAAUCUGUGUUUCAUGGUAAGAGGGAAGAGUAUGAAGAGUUUAUAAAAGACAUAGAUGCUUUUAAGACCCUGAUGAAUGAUCAUCGAAUCACCAGACUUCCAGUUCAAAAUUUCAAAGGAAGGAUGAAAAAGUUACUUAAAGGGCAUAAUCGUUUAAUUUUUGGAUUCAACGCCUACAUGAAGGAUCGUCGUAUCACACUUCCAAUUCGACAACCAGUACGAGGAGGUCAUAGUAAUGGACAAAAAAAGAAGAAGGUAGAAGAGAACUGUCAACUUCCUUGGGAUUUGCUUGACAUCAUUUUGAGGAAUCUAGAUUUUGAUGACCUCUUUCAAUUUGGUAGUGUAUGCAAAAAUUGGCGAGAAUUUCAUAAAAUUUAUUGGAGGAAUUUCAUGGCAUCCGAAGAACCAUUACUUAUCCAAUGGUGCGCUGUUAAGAGAUCUCUCAACUUCUUCAGCUUACCUCACGAUAAAGUUUAUCACUCAAAGAUGAUCAAUAACUACUUCCGAUUUGUCUAUCAUGGGUCUUCUAGCGGAUAUUUCAUCAUGACACGAAAAGAUAAUUCAUUUAUACUUAUUAAUCCAUUUACAAGAAGAAAGAUGCUAAUCAAUAACUCAGUCUUCCAAGUUAAUUUCAGUUAUUUUUCCUGCAAAGUCUUGCUUGCUUUUUCCAAAGGCUCAAAGGAAUUUGUCUUGGUGGUUUCAUGUAAAAAUUCUGAUAAUUUGCAUGUCUAUCAAUCUCGAAAUCUUUGUUGGACUGCUUAUUCGACACCACAGAAGGUUGUUGACUUUGCUGUUUUAAAUUCUAUCAUAUAUGUUGUCACUGACAAGGCCAGCAUAGGGAUACUCAGCUUGAAAUAUGCAAAUAUAAAUUUUUUAGAACUGAAGAGUACUCCUGGUGUAACUUCUAGUCGUUAUUGGUCACACGUAGGGUUGGUUAGUUGUGAUGGAUAUCUUUUAGUGCUUAAUUUUAUGUCAAAGGUAACGUAUAACGUGUACAAGAUAGACUUCUCUACCAUGGAUUAUGUCAAGUUGGAAUCUUUGGCUGACAUUGCAAUAUUUUGUGUUCCGCCGAAAAGGUAUUAUGCACUGAGCAACCCGCACAUGUGGGGUUAUGAGAACAAUUCUAUCUAUGCCAUCGAUGUUCCAUGUGGCAAAUACACGGUGUAUAAAGGAGAUAACAAAAAAAUGCCAGAAUUCAUUAUUCCUGGUUUUAAACGUAGUGAACUUCCACAUCCUAUUUAUUGCCGCUCAAAACAACGUUACAUAGAUUGGUGUUUUAGACAUCUACAAUAUGAGGUAGAUUAUACUCUCGUUGAGUAGCAUGCUUAUUACCCUACACUUUGGGUUGGACCUUGUUCUAUUUGUUUUUCUUUUGAUUUUCGAAUAAAUGGACAUGAUUUAAUGGUUUACGGUGUUAUUAUUGGACAAGUUUUGAGAUAGUAUAGAGGAUUUAAUGUACUUUUUCCUAGCUUGUAGUUGUAGCAUUUCUUGUCGUGGAUUGUGGCACAUUGAGGAGAA